CAUCUGCAUUUGACUCCUUGAACUAUGGCAGCCAGCUGGAGCCAUGAAGUAAGCCACCCUAACAUGAGUGGCAGAAACAUGGAGAGAAUUUUAAAGCUGGACAAGACCCUCAGAAAGCAGAUAAUCAAAGUACCUCAAUCAAUUGAAGUCCUGGGACAUUAAGCAAUUUAUCCAAGGUCACAAAGCAAGUUACAAUGGAGCCACCAUUUACCUCUUGAAGGAGGAAACAGACCAUCAAUUCUGAAGAAUAGACUUUUGUCUCCAGAUUUAAUGGUUUUCCCUUUCUGCUGUUAGUAUAGAGAUCUUCAGUGUCUAAUGAGUAAGACAGUCUAAAAUUUUUCAUUUUUCAAAGAACAAAAACUCCUGACAUCUGCUUUCUUCCCUUCCCUAGCAUUAAAG
rnacentral:lncRNA from 1 species